UGGGGAAUUUUGGACAAUGGGGGAAACCCUGAUCCAGCCAUCCCGCGUGUGCGAUGAAGGCCUUCGGGUUGUAAAGCACUUUUGGCAGGAAAGAAACGUCGCGGGUUAAUACCCCGCGAAACUGACGGUACCUGCAGAAUAAGCACCGGCUAACUACGUGCCAGCAGCCGCGGUAAUACGUAGGGUGCAAGCGUUAAUCGGAAUUACUGGGCGUAAAGCGUGCGCAGGCGGUUCGGAAAGAAAGAUGUGAAAUCCCAGAGCUUAACUUUGGAACUGCAUUUUUAACUACCGGGCUAGAGUGUGUCAGAGGGAGGUGGAAUUCCGCGUGUAGCAGUGAAAUGCGUAGAUAUGCGGAGGAACACCGAUGGCGAAGGCAGCCUCCUGGGAUAACACUGACGCUCAUGCACGAAAGCGUGGGGAGCAAACAGGAUUAGA
rnacentral:rRNA from 1 species